UAGGGAAUCUUCGGCAAUGGGGGCAACCCUGACCGAGCAACGCCGCGUGAGUGAAGAAGGUUUUCGGAUCGUAAAGCUCUGUUGUAAGAGAAGAACGUGUGUGAGAGUGGAAAGUUCACGCAGUGACGGUAACUUACCAGAAAGGGACGGCUAACUACGUGCCAGCAGCCGCGGUAAUACGUAGGUCCCGAGCGUUGUCCGGAUUUAUUGGGCGUAAAGCGAGCGCAGGCGGUUUAAUAAGUCUGAAGUUAAAGGCAGUGGCUUAACCAUUGUUCGCUUUGGAAACUGUUAAACUUGAGUGCAGAAGGGGAGAGUGGAAUUCCAUGUGUAGCGGUGAAAUGCGUAGAUAUAUGGAGGAACACCGGUGGCGAAAGCGGCUCUCUGGUCUGUAACUGACGCUGAGGCUCGAAAGCGUGGGGAGCAAACAGG
rnacentral:rRNA from 1 species